rnacentral:rRNA from 1 species
UACGAGGGGGCUAGCGUUGCUCGGAAUCACUGGGCGUAAAGCGCACGUAGGCGGCUUCUUAAGUCCAGGGGUGAAAUCCCGGAGCUCAACUCCAGAACUGCCUUUGAUACUGAGAAGCUUGAGUCCGGGAGAGGUGAGUGGAACUGCGAGUGUAGAGGUGAAAUUCGUAGAUAUUAGGAAGAACACCAGUGGCGAAGGCGGCUCACUGGUCCAUUACUGACGCUGAGGUGCGAAAGCGUGGGGAGCAAACAGG